GUUCUGAGGGACAUGGACAUUGCAGACUUUUUCACCAACCAGGAAAACUUUUCAGGCAUCACCCAAGAGGUCCAGCUGAAGAUGUAACAGGUGGUUCAUAAGUCCAUGCUGCAACUUGAUGAGAAGAGUGUGAGGCAGCUGCCACCACUGGGGAUGUCCUAAAGUUGAUGUUCAAGCCUCUUAUUAUCAUUUUCAGCUGGCCCUUCAUUGUGAUGACCUUUGACCAUUUCAGAUACAGCAGCCUUUUCCUGGGCAAGGUCAUUAAU
rnacentral:lncRNA from 1 species